rnacentral:misc_RNA from 1 species
AAAAGAAAAAGACUUUGUUUUUAUUUUUUUUCCUUUUUGCGUUUUGUGUAAGUAUAGACAGAUACACAAACACUUGCGCGCUAACACAUAGAUUUAGGUAGUGAAUUCUAAUUGCGAACCAGUUUAGAGGAUAGGGAUUACUUGGUUUUCUUAUGGGCUGGAAUAUUAGAAUUCGAUAGAAAUACUAAUUGACUUGUCAACUUGAUUGAAACUGGGGGUUGAGGUUAUAUAAAAGUCUGAUAGUAUGCACAUUCUUGUUUCUAUAUGUUGGUACUUAAUCAUAUGAAGAUAUUGUGCAGUCUGGCAGCUUGGAAAAUAAAUACUGAAAUUGAACUCACAAGAAUAUAAAUCAAAAUAUAAGAUGUAGCAA